rnacentral:rRNA from 1 species
GCGGCGACGUUUGGACACAAGGCUUCUCUAGGGUAGACCUCGGGACAAGGCCUCGGGACGGCCUCCUCCUUCGGUAACUACCUCGGUAGAAGUAGUUGGAACGACGGAGGUACUGGUACACUAUAAUAGCACAACACCACGAACUAUAUAUAUCCUAGUAUAACUACUUCGACGUGGUGUAGAAGUUCUACCAUGACAUCACUAGUCGCCCUAUUAUAUAUAUAUAUAUAUAUAUGUAUGUAUUUGUGAUAAGACUAGUGCCCUAGUCUUAUUAUAAGACUGGUGUUGGACUUGAAGGACGUAUUGCGCGGACUUGAAGGGAGACAUGCUUGGGCUGGAAGCCCGAUAGAAGCGUUGGCACCGAAGGGG